UUCUUUUGGUUUGUUCACCGGCGUUGUCACGAUGAAUCCUGUGGUUUCAAGUUUCUUCGCUCUGCUAUUGGUCCUCUUCGUCAUCGACUAUGUCCAGAGCUGUGCGGUCUCCAACGCCAACGUCAACGUUGGAGGGUGUGGUGGCUGCGGUGGAUGCGGAGGCUGCGGUUGUGGCUGCGGCUGUGGUGGUUGGGGCGGAUGGGGCGGAUGGGGCGGUUGGGGUGGCUGCGGAUGCGGCUGGGGUAGGUGUGGAUGUGGGCCUUGGGGCUGGGGCUGGGGUAGAUGUGGUUGUUGCUGCUAACCCAUCCAUCAUCCGGCUGAAAACUUCAUCACUUCCAAAAGUUCCGUUUUGAAUGGACCACGGAAUAGGUUAUGAACAUCACCUCAAAAAUAUGACUCCUCAUCAAACUUUAAUGUAAAAACAUCGCUUGUUCGAAAAACUUCCAAAUUGUGAGAAAUUAACAAAACUAUUGCAAGAUCGGAAAAUCUGUUUCUUUUACACGCAUAUUUGCUGUCAGUCAAUCGUCAAUUCGACCUCCUCUCUUCUUUUAUGAUUUUUGUAAUUUUUCUAACACUCAUGAUGCGAUUAUUAGAUUUCAAGGACUAUCCUGAAUGGAGGGGCUUGGAGGACAAGACGCAUAUAAGUGCAGUUUUUGAAAAAAUUGACAUUUUAUUGAUUUCAAAUAAAACUAGUCUUAAUGCCUCCUCUGUGAAAAAUUCGCUCCCAAAUUCCAAUUUUUAAACAUCAAAAAGUCAAUUUGAACUUUCUCUCCGCCGUAUGGCUCCAUGUAAUUUCAAAAUCUCAAACUUAUAUUUCUCGAAAUAGCAAAAACUGCACUUAUGCGCUUUGUCCUCAAAGCUCCUGAAUUAACGUUUUCAGUUAUAUUAUAAAGAGUAGGUAAAACACUCCUCGUAUAUGUAUGAACAAACUAUGUGGAAUAAGUCACUUAUUAAUGAUAACCUAUAUUUUAUAUGUCAGUAACUGAAGCUUGGAAUCACACAUGUUUCUCUCCUCUCCGAAUACACGACAACUCUAAUCUUGUCAAAGAAAAAUCCCUACCCCCGCAGAAAAAUCCAUCCAUCGUAAAGCAUGGAACUUAGUUUGUUUUUGUUUUUGAGCGGGAAGCGUGAAUUAACUUACAGUAAAAAAAAAACGUUAUAUAUCCUCACUUAUAAAAUCAAUUUAGAAAGAUUCAAUGCGACGAUCAAACUCUUCGCAAAAUUUAGAUAAGGAAGCAUAUAUGGAUUGUAUUUUGCAAAAAGGAACCACUAGCAUUGCAAUGAUGCUAAGAUUGUGCAACUUUAUCCUUUGCAAUAAAAUUGCGGAAAUCGUGAAAAACUAUUAAAUUUAGAUGGUAAUUUUUGUCUUAAAUUUACAGUUUUUAGCGAGUAAAAUAGAAACUAUUAAUGGAUAAUCGGGUUUUUCCUCCAAGACAAAAAAGUUGCACAAUCUUAGCAACAUUGCAAUGCUAGUGGUUCCUUUUUGCAAAAUGCGAUCCAUAUUUUAGUGCUUAAUUUUGUAAACUAUUCAGUGGUCUAGCUCGGGUUUAGAUUUUAAGUUCUGGCGACACUGGCAUAUCAUCUCUUUUAUCACAAGGCGAUUGACGGCAAGAGCAUCAUCAAGAAGAUAGUAACAGCAAUGUAUCCGGCAGGACACUGCCUCAGCUGGGCUUCAUCAAAGCUCAUCAUGAAAAUUCCAAUUUGACAGAACCUCCCAAUGAAAUACUUGACGAGACUCCUUCAUGGGGCACCGCAUGGCUGGUAUUCAACAUGCAUCCUGAAGCUCAUCAGUCUGAUUCUGUAACUUGAAAAUUCGAUACCUCGCUUUUAUCGAUAGACUUCAAUUCGGCAGGGUGAUGACACCGGCUAUAGGAUUGGACUCCUGGUCGUGAACGCAAGGUUCCCGGCAAAAAAUUGAAUUCAAGCAAAAACCAGUGGCGUGGCGUGCUUUGCGAUAUAUUGAUUGAUCUGCCAUUUAAACCUAUGAAAAAAGAUCGAUUAUCAGGGUGUUCGCAGCGAACACCUUAGUAAUCGAUUCUUUACCAUAGCUUCAAAUGGCGAGAUAUCGAUAAUCGAUCAUUCACGCCACGCCAGUGGCAAAAACAUACACCCUUUGCGUAUGCUGAAUAAAAUUUCGUGUGCAACUAUUAAUUUUUUUCUCUUUUCAUACAUUAUUCCUCCGAGAUUUUUUCUGGUAAAGAAGGAUGAAAUGAAAAGUGACGAUGAAAAAAUUGGCGAGUUCUUAAGUACAUUUAAUGUAGCAUUAUUUAUUUAUUUUAAAUAAGAAUCUCAAAAGAUGUGUUAAUUGUAAAUUGCUUUAUCAUUUGAAGUUGCAAUAUCGUAAUUCGAAAUCUGCAAGCGCCAAUCAUGCAGACAUUUACUGUACAUCACUUUCUGUGUAGCUCAUACACCUUGAUUAUUGCUAGCAUUACAAUGCCUGCGAUGAAUAUUUGUGGUAUGACGUGUGGUUAAACUCAAAGCAUCCUAAUUAUUCCAGGGGCAUAUUUUUGUGAUGCAAUCAACUCUACCAUUCUCUUACAUAUUCAUUAAAAUGAGGACUCAGGGGUCAGUGACUUUCUGAUCCAAAAUUACAAACUAUAAAAUACAAGUCAGCCAGUCGUUGCAGGUAAAAUGCCUACAAUGUAGAGAGUAUGCAAUCAGCAAAUGUGCGGGCCUCCUACCCGUCAGCACCCCGGGUCUCUGAGGCCCUGUUUUCAAGAAACAGACUUGUUGGCUUGUAUGCGUAGACUUUGGAACAGAAACGAUGACCAUUCGUCUUUCGAAAAAAUGAAAUAUGAAAGAGUCAGAUAAAUAUAUUGGUGAAAAUUAUAUUACUACCUGCUCCUAAAAUGCGCGCUGAGUCUAGUUUCAGUUAAUUCCAAAACCUAGGUAAGGCCAAAAAUUCUGUCUGACUAAUACAUUUGAGGGCAGUUUUUUUUCUGAUGCAGAACGUUCAAGCAAAACCGAUAUUAUAAAAGAUCUCCUUAUCUCUCCGUUCCCUCUGGAGAUGCCAUGGUGACGUCACGCGUGUUUUAAUUAAAACAAUAAAGUUUAGUGUUUUACCAUUGUGGAAGAGGUGUUUUAUGGGAGGCAUCCGUGAUUAGGUGAAAGCAAUAUCAAGAGCAUGACCGGCACUCGUACCUUCCCUUAAGGGCAGUGGAACUUGCCGACUUAACGACAGGAAAAAUGUGACGCGGUAAUUUUAUUACCUGAAAAACGGUUGGUCAUCCUCCAUAAAUUCCGAGUGUUGCCGGGUAGAUGUACAAGUUUCCAAAGGGAUAAAAACCCUUUUCUUACCUCUUCGCUCUACAUUAACGCAGAUCGUUGCCAAGCGCAGUGCCAUAUGGAUGUAAUUAAAUGCACGUAACUGAAGGGUCAACGCAAGAAUGAUUCCUAUUAAGUGCAUUUUCUGAGAUUUUUGAUAAAAUCAAGCACGUAGGUGGUAAAAUGAUACAUACUUACUGGUUUCGUGGACCAUUAACUAAUCAUCGCUCCUCUGGCGUAUCUCUAUUUUAUAAUUACAAAUUGUACCUGCACCAUUUAUUUCUUUUCCUUUUCUUUCUUUUUGUUUACAAAACAAACGGCAAAAAUAAUGUUCAAAAAUUUGCCGACUUUUGAAAGUAGUCCGUGAAAAACCUGUGAAAUUUUCAAAAAAUUUAAAGGCAAUGACCUCCGAGUUAAAACAUCAAGAGGCUUCUUCGGUAAAAGGGCGCGUGAUGCUUGCAAUGCCGGUGAGAUUGUACAAUUUUUCAUUUCAUUCGCAGCAAAUGAAAUUCAUUUACCGUUGACUCAUUCAGACUCAGUUUUCGUGAGAAAAAUGCAUGGCAAAUUCGCAGAAAAAAUUUCACGCCCAAGCUUAUAAAUAGGUUACUUUUAUUUAGAGAACUACGUUGCACAAGCUUAGCAGCUUCGGAGACCUUAUACGAGCCUUUUACGGUAGGAAUUCUCAAUUUUGAGUGAAAAUUUCACAACCCGGAAUUGUAGUUAGAUUCUUUCGUCAGGAAAACGACGUAGUGACGGCAUCCUUUAUAUUAUUGACGUCAUCAGCCGACACGUAGACGUGAAUGAAUCCGAGCGUUUCAUCAUUGAGCACAUCUUCGUUUCACUUACCUCGUCGACCGGCGGUGCGGCGCGGUGGGGUAUGCAUGUAAACCGACAUUGCGCGCGAGUAGCGUGGGUUGCAUUUGCAGUUCGAACGGCGCUCCACAUAGACCCGCUGAAUAAUGUAACGGUCUGUUGCGCUUAAUUACUGCUUUCUUUUGACGCUCCUCGCCCAAUGUGAAUAAUGCGCAUACAUUAUACGUAUUAAAAAGGGAGAAGGGAAAAAUUGCUGCAAAAAACAUUACUUUAUAAUUAUGUCUUGGUUAUUAAAAAAAGACGAGGAGAAGUGAGGAGGAAGCUUGGAAUAAAAGAUAAAAAAGUUAUACACAAACAAGCCACCGGAGUUGUCAUUUUUCUGAUGUCCCUGUAAUAUUGAUCGAUUGUGAGCAAAGAGAGGAAACUCGGACCUGUCUUGUUACAGAGCGCUGUCGCUUUUGAGCGCUUUGUGUACUCAUUCUGAGAUUAAGCGCAGAAUCGCGGGUGUUUUAAAUACCUCAUUCGUUGAAUAUUCAAGAAAACUUAUGAAUAGAAUUUCUACAAAAUAUUGUGUAGUUCGUCAGGUUGCUCAUAAAAUGUUCCCAAAAUCUAAUGUGCCCAGCACAUUAGCCGGCUUAAUACUUCAUAAAAAAGUAAAACAAUGAAAUAGAUGUUUUGCAUAUUAUGACAUGCGCUUUUAUACUCAAAUCUUUUCUUCAAUAAAAUACACAUGGGCUUAGUUUCCAAUGAAUCCAAAAAAAAGGUCACAUUGUGAACAUCAUAAUAUGUAAAUUUCAGCUAUUUUUACAUUUUUUCAUUAUUGUCAAUAGGAGAAAAAUGCAAAGUUGCAAUUUCUUGUUAAAUUUGCCCUCAGCUUCAUCCUUUUAUAUUAUAAAGAGUCCAAAACUUCAGACUGACAUUUGACUUUUUUCUUUUGUCAGUAAAUUCAGAGUUUUUAAUUAUUGUUGCAUAAAUAAAUUCAUACUGUCUUUAUGUACAAAUUGUCUUAAUUGCUGUGCUCCCGCUUUAAUGAACAUGCCACUUUUCUU
rnacentral:lncRNA from 1 species